UAGGGAAUCUUCGGCAAUGGACGAAAGUCUGACCGAGCAACGCCGCGUGAUGGAAGAAGGUUUUCGGAUCGUAAAACACUUUUGUUAGAGAAGAACAAGGACGUUAGUAACUGAACGUCCGCUGACGGUAUCUAACCAGAAAGCCACGGCUAACUACGUGCCAGCAGCCGCGGUAAUACGUAGGUUGCAAGCGUUGUCCGGAUUUAUUGGGCGUAAAGCGGGCGCAGGCGGUUUCUUAAGUCUGAUGUGAAAGCCCCCGGCUCAACCGGGGAGGGUCAUUGGAAACUGGGGGACUUGAGUGCAGAAGAGGGGAGUGGAAUUCCAUGUGUAGCGGUGAAAUGCGUAGAUAUAUGGAGGAACACCAGUGGCGAAGGCGGCUCUCUGGUCUGUAACUGACGCUGAGGCUCGAAAGCGUGGGGAGCAAACAGG
rnacentral:rRNA from 1 species